UACGGAAGGGGCUAGCGUUGUUCGAAAUUACUGGGCGUAAAGCGCGCGUAGGCGGCUUGGCAAGUGAGGCGUGAAAGUCCUGGGCUCAACCUGGGGACGGCGCUUCAGACUGCUUGGCUUGAGUCCGGAAGAGGGUGGUGGAAUUCCGAGUGUAGAGGUGAAAUUCGUAGAUAUUCGGAGGAACACCGGUGGCGAAGGCGGCCACCUAGUCCGGAACUGACGCUGAAGUGCGAAAGCGUGGGGAGCAAACAGG
rnacentral:rRNA from 1 species